UACAGAGGGGGCAAGCGUUAUUCGGAAUUAUUGGGCGUAAAGGGCGCGUAGGCGGCCUGGCAAGUGGAUGGUGAAAUCCCUCGGCUUAACCGAGGAACUGCCAUCCAGACUGCUUGGCUUGAGACCGGGAGAGGUGAGUGGAAUUCCCAGUGUAGCGGUGAAAUGCGUAGAUAUUGGGAGGAACACCAGUGGCGAAGGCGGCUCACUGGACCGGUACUGACGCUGAGGCGCGAAAGCGUGGGGAGCAAACGGA
rnacentral:rRNA from 1 species